UACGUAGGGUGCGAGCGUUGUCCGGAUUUAUUGGGCGUAAAGAGCUCGUAGGCGGCUCUUCGCGUCAGCUGUGAAAACCCGCAGCUUAACUGUGGGCUUGCAGCUGAUACGGGCGGGCUAGAGUUCGGUAGGGGAGACUGGAAUUCCUGGUGUAGCGGUGAAAUGCGCAGAUAUCAGGAGGAACACCGGUGGCGAAGGCGGGUCUCUGGGCCGAUACUGACGCUGAGGAGCGAAAGCGUGGGGAGCGAACAGG
rnacentral:rRNA from 1 species